CAUUAGAUGGCCGAAAGAAAGUAAUGGUCUCUUAAACCAAUUUAUGGUAAUUAACGAAUACCUCUAAUG
rnacentral:tRNA from 1 species